rnacentral:rRNA from 1 species
AACGAACGCUGGCGGCAUGCCUAACACAUGCAAGUCGAACGAGACCUUCGGGUCUAGUGGCGCACGGGUGCGUAACGCGUGGGAACCUGCCCUUAGGUUCGGAAUAACUCCCCGAAAGGGGUGCUAAUACCGGAUAAUGUCUUCGGACCAAAGAUUUAUCGCCUUUGGAUGGGCCCGCGUUGGAUUAGCUAGUUGGUAGGGUAAAAGCCUGCCAAGGCGACGAUCCAUAGCUGGUCUGAGAGGAUGAUCAGCCACACUGGGACUGAGACACGGCCCAGACUCCUACGGGAGGCAGCAGUGGGGAAUAUUGGAAAAUGGGCGAAAGCCUGAUCCAGCAAUGCCGCGUGAGUGAUGAAGGCCUUAGGGUUGUAAAGCUCUUUUACCCGGGAUGAUAAUGACAGUACCGGGAGAAUAAGCUCCGGCUAACUCCGUG